UACGUAGGGUGCAAGCGUUAAUCGGAAUUACUGGGCGUAAAGCGUGCGCAGGCGGUGAUGUAAGACAGAUGUGAAAUCCCCGGGCUCAACCUGGGAACUGCAUUUGUGACUACAUCGCUGGAGUGCGGCAGAGGGGGAUGGAAUUCCGCGUGUAGCAGUGAAAUGCGUAGAUAUGCGGAGGAACACCGAUGGCGAAGGCAAUCCCCUGGGUCGAUACUGACGCUCAUGCACGAAAGCGUGGGGAGCAAACAGG
rnacentral:rRNA from 1 species